GCCUCCCCGCCCGGCUGAGGAACGGCGUCGGGGGGGGGGGGGGAGGUCCCCGGAGCGUCCCUGCCCCUCGCAGCCGAGGCGGGAGGAGGUUCGGCAGCCUGGGCUCCAGCUGCUUGAACUUGCUCCAGAGACUGCUGAAGGCCAGAGGAGGGACGGGGUAGCCUCUCUGCUGCAGGGACUCCACCCAAAGAGGCAGGACUGCAGCCAUGCUCCUCAUACCUUGCAAAGUACCAGGUGAAGCAGCACACCUUCCCUGCAUCCAUCUCCAGUGUCCCUGUGGCAGCUCCCAGUGUCACCAUCAUCCUGGCAUGGCUGGCCCUCAAAAGGAACUUGGUAUCCCUGAGCUGCAGUAAGAGCUAUUUCUAAGGCCUGGGACCUCAGGGCAGCAGCUCUGCCAGCCUUCUGCUCAAACCAAGGACAGCUUUGGAGCCUCCUUCCCUCUUGGCUUCAGCACAUCUGGAAUUCUCCUCUCAGGGUUGUUACUCAGGCUACACCUAUGAAAAGGAUUGCCUGGUUCUGCAGAAAACACACACAGCAACAGGUUUUGUCACACCAUCCCAAGAGACCAGAUCUGUGUGAAGAUUUUAAAGAGUUGCUUUGCCAGAGUGAAGGAGGCAAAUAAAUAUUCCUCAUUACUGCAGCUACAAAGAAACAUGCAUGGAGCUGGAAAAAUCCU